rnacentral:lncRNA from 1 species
CCACUGGUAUAUUACUCACUAUUGGCCCAUCUGCCACCUUAUUGUUAUUAUUGUGGGUAUAAUUUAGAUGCCAAUUUUAGCAUCUUUAUUUAUACUCUUUCAUUCAGUUUUUGUUACCCUUUUUCUUCUGUUAGCCAUACUUCACACCAAAAAAAACCAUGAGCUUAUGAUGCAUGUUGGAAAGUCUCUUUUCUUCUCCAAUAAAUAAGUUAAAUCAAACAAGGCAAGUUUCUUCCAUUCUUCCUUUAUAUGUGUUGUUAUUUUUUACUUUUUUAUUUUAUGAUGGUUUUGUUUGAGCGUGUUGUCACGCUUAUCCUUUCAUACUAGUAAUUUGCAGUAUUACUCUUGUAGUUUCCUUGUCCUUCUUAUGGUUUAUUAUUUGUUGUUUCUUGUACUUCAUUUGUCAUAUUAUUUUGUAUAUUCUUGUCUUUCUAUCGGUUCUGAUUUGUUGUUUCAUGUACUUUGUGUAUUAUUUUGUGGUAGUUACUAUUCUUCCCUUCUUCUUUUUUUCAAAUUGUUUUUAGCAUAUAGUAGUAUAUUUGCUUCGUCACAUUCGUUAUUUCUUUUACCAGACUGUUUUGUUUUGCUUCACUUUGAGGCGAGGAUCUACCGAAAACAUCCUCUCUACUUGCCAAGGUAGGCAUCCAUGUAUACUCUACUCUCUCCGCACUCCACUUUUGAAAUUACAUUAGUAUGUUAUUAUAUGGCGGGAUUACAUUAAGUAUGUUAUUGUUGUUGUUACACAUGGAUUAUUUUAUCGAGUAUCUGCUAGUUUUUGCCACCACAAGUACUAUAUUAGUUAAUUACCUCUGUUUGUUUCAAUAUUCUCUCCUAGUUUAAGGUUUGUUUCUUGAACUCUUGAUUCUUUUAAUUACAUAUAUAUAUAUAUGUUAAGAUCCAUACAUAGAGAGAGAAAUAUAGAUGAUUCAAGGUAUUUGUUUUUUGUUUGGCCAUUUAACUACUAUUACUUUGUUAAUUGGCUGAGAAACUCCACUUCUAGGAGAAAAAUAAACAGGUUUUGUCCAACAGUAUAUAUAUCAUAUAUGGCUUCAUGAUAAUAUUUGGUUGGUUGCCUGUAAUGCAUGUGAUUGGGCUUCUCAGCUUUUAUUUAUGAGUUUUAAGUUAUAUAUAUCAAGAAGGAGAAGAGGUGAGCAUAGUUUCACUUGCUUGGUAACCUCUUUCCCCGUCAGAGAUAAGAAAGAAUCCAAAUCUUGCAAGGAUGUUAGACUUCAACGUCUCUACACCAUUAGGUGAUCUUUAUCUGUUAUUAAACUCUUUUCAUGUUAGCUCAUCUCCUUGUUUGUAAACCUGGUUCUGGUUCCUUUUUUGAAGUUUCUGGUUUGUAGUUCUAAUUUUCUUGAUUUUGUUCGAUGAAACUACGUAUACAUGCCAGUUUUUGGUGGUUAAGUUUGCUGCCAUACAUAGUCAGGAAUAAUUGCAGAGUACAACAUCAGAAAUUGGUGUCUUAAGACUUAGCAUAAUUGCAGAGUACAACAUCAGAAGACUGUCAAAAAGGAUAAUUAUCAUUAAGGAAAAUGAACAAUGGUCUGCACUUAUCAAUACAAUGAAAUUCAGAAAAUGCACUAUGCCCUUAACCAACUACAAAAUAAAAAGUGGUUAAGGGCGGGCUAAAAUGUCUUGUUCUGAUCUUUUUGUCAGCACAGUGUAGCUUUGCCUUUUCAUGCAUUUCCUCCUUUCCCCUUCCUUCUGUAAUGUGAUUCGUGUAUGUGAAAAUGCUGUACAGUUUAUUCCACCGGUUAAGUCACCAGUGGACUGAAUUUGCCAUCAUAGGUUCAUGUGAGGGAUGCAUUUACUCUGACUGGUUUUACACGACUUACACCUCUUCGCAUAAACUCAAAUGCCAACAUAAACAAACCAAAAAAGAACAACAAGAACAUCUGUAGCCUUCCUAUAAUGUCGGCCAUGACAGAUGAUCUACUUCCUUCUGGAGAACUUUUUCUAGUAAGUGGAGUUAUAUUCCAUCCUGACAGAGACAAUCAACUAUUAAAGCAAUGCACCUUAACCAAUAAACUUAGGAAACAUUACAGGACUUUGUGAUAUAUGGAAGUUUAUGUAUCCUACAGAGACAUUAUUCCUCUAUAUCUUGUUCCUCCAAAUAGUCUUAGUUUCAUGCUGCUGCUUUCUACAAAAAAUAGGAACCAGUUAUUAAUACUUACCAGAGCUUUUCUUGGGCAAAUUUGUCCAGUCAUACGGGCUAAUCUUACUUGUGGAUGCCUUGAUCAACUCAAGAAGAGCGUCAUUGACCUAGAAUAUUUAAUAAUUGUCAUAUACUUCUUCCAUUAACAAUCAACACACAUAAGACUACAGCCACACAAAUCAUUUGAAGCCACAAAGAGUACUAAAACUUUGAGAAUCUCAUAACAUAUUAUGCAUUUUGAAUUCCCUAUUCAUAACUACCAAAAAGUUGAUUUGGCCUAUUUGUGACCACCAAGAAGAGUAACCCCUCCCCAGGUUCUUAGGAUGCUUUUCUUGACCUCCACCCUUAGUACGUUAUAUUUUUUUUUUUUGUUUUUGGUAACUAAGCAGAAUGGAUUUUUUUUCUUACUGGAUGAUUCUGUAUUUGCAUAAUAAAGACAUAAAAACAUACCUCUUCUGUCCUUUCAUGACUAACAAGAUGUCCUCCAGGAAGCUCUACCAUUCUAGCAUAAGGAUGUAACUUCUUCGCAAGCCUCUUUGCAUGGCUUAACUGAGCAAUGACAUCAUGCCUACACAGAAGAAAAUGUUGAUUUAUAUCUAAAUAUAAUGUAUCUGGCAAUUUGAGAUUGGAUCUCGUGGAUAAUGCAUUUACCUGCCAUGAAUUACAGAUAUUAGGAAUCCAGCAGAGCAGAUAGAUUCAAGAUCAGCCCGUGAUAUCUUAUGAGUCCAACAAGCAUUUAUCUGUCCAUCAAAUCCACAAUUUGACUGCAUCCCGGAUGCUGAUAUGCCUUUCACGUAUUCCUGGCACAGCCCAAAAAUAAGAGGGGGAAAAACACGUAAGCACCUUAAGUCUUGUUUAUUGUAGAUUACAUUUCAAUGGUUGAAAAAAAAAAAAAAAGAUGGCCUAAGAAACAUCUAGGUCACUCACUUGAUAUAAUAUUGCUCUUCGGGUCGUAGUUCCCACAUCUUCCUCGAGGUAUUCCUGCAAAGCACAAAUCACAAAUAUGUUAAGUCAUAUAUCACUCCCUAGUCGUGAUAAAUAUUAUCACUGAUUAGAAUUUAGAUCUUUUUUUUAGAAAUAAUAGAAUUUAUAUCAAGUGAUGAUAAACCAACUAAUCAGCAAUUGUACGAAAAGUAAGCACAUAAAACCAUCUAGAUACAUUUUAUGUUGUACAACAAUAGAUGACAUGCAUAUGAAACUUUGCAGUACAGGGGAACUAGGGAAGUGAAGCCUCAUAAUUUUCAACAUUAUUAAAUGAACAAUUAAUCAACCUUUGAAUAAUGGGUGUCUAAAUCAACAGCAGCCCUCUGUUCAGGAGUCUUUGCCUUCAAAAACCGGACAGCAAUUGAUAGAGUUUGACGAUCGAGCUGCAGGAAAAAAGACCACAUGAGUACUAGAAUCAACAAAAAAAACUCUUCAUUCCGUACAAGAAUAUAAUGAGAAACAGACAGAGGAAGCAUUGUGUUUGAGGUAUAACAUUAAUUUGGUUAGCAUCUUUUGAUACAAUUAGCACUCAUCAAAAUUACAGGAUCUUAUUCAUAACUAGCAUGUAUCUGUUCAAAAAAAAUUGUGCAUCUGACAUGAUGUUGCCAGUUACUAUUUUUUUUAAUCAAGUCAAGUAAUAUAAUUUUAUUGAUAAUGGAAAAGCAUUAGUACGAAACCAUCAAUCAAUUAUGUCUUAGUUCCAAAAAAGCUAGGAUCAAUUUAUAAAUAUCUUAAAUUAAAAGAAAUUCAAAUGACUCAGACAUUCAUGGCCAAUUUAACCUGAUAUUUUAUUUGAGCUGUGGAAGUAACCACUAAUGCUUGCAUUAGGGUAUGCUGUCUACAUCACAUCCUUUGGGGGUGCAGCCCUUCCCCUUCCCCUGUGCUAAUGCGGAAUGUUUUGUGCACCAGACUGCCCUUCUUUUCUUUUCCUAUUUCAUCAAUUGGGGUGCAGUUGAGUUGUAUAAAUGUUUAGGCUACACCACUGCUAAACUAAGAUAUAGUGACCACAUUAAUCAUUUUCAUUGUUGUCCCUUCAAUCUUCCAAUUUUCACUCUUCAAUGGGUGCAUUACUCAACCUUUUAUAGAUACCCACCAAACUAGGUACUUUUUUUUCUCAAUUUAUUUUUCCCAUAAGAGCUAUUAAACACACUGUUUUUCACCCUCACUCCUUUGAAAAAGUACUGUUUUCUCUUCUUAUACCACAUGAAUCAUCUCAACAGACUCAUCCCAGCCAUCUAUAACUCUUCGGAAUUGUUUCUGUGCUUCAGAGACAGCACAAUAUUAUUUAAUCACAUGCAUGAUGUUACUACCCAUCCCUUGAUCAGUAGUAUUCAUCUCCAUCAUACCUAAUUUCCUUCAGAUUUAUCAGUAGAUGAAUUUCUGACAACAUUCAGUGCUCAGGUCUUUGUUAAACAAAGUUGUCUUUCCAGAUAGUACAUUUUAACUAUGCAAACAUGACUUUUUUAUUAUUUGUCAGAUCAACUAUUUGGGUCUUGUAUGCUACCAAGUAGAAAAACAUUGUGGAAUUAGGAACAACUCCAUCAAAUGGUCAUACCGCCUAUUGAAGAAGCAGACUGGCCUAUAGCAUUUCACUGGAUUAAGAGGGGUCUCUCCUCACCCUCUGAGAAAAAUGCUGAGUACCUCCUGGCCUUUCCAGAGCAAAGGAGAAAAGGAUUACCUAAUCUACAAGUAUAAACUAUAGUUGUGAUAUGUGUUUAUCUCAUAUGUGAUAUGACAAUCUGAGCAUACAAACUUCCCCUUCCUUCCACAUGGAAUAUGCUACAACAGAAGAAUAAGAACAGUAUUCCCUCCUUUCUCAUACAGACAGACUGGAAUCUCUCUCUCCACACACACACACACAGAGUAGAGACACUCACAAAUGGACAAGAUGGGUACAUUCUUAAUAAUUAUGUACCACACCUUAUUUUUAUUUGGAUAACUCUGUAACUAAUAUCACCUUAUAAGCACCAAAUAAUUCUACCUUCUCCACUUAAAUAUUAGACUUUGGUCUGCUAAAGGUUCAACCCCGUAACGUGCGCCUAAUCUACACAUAGCAUGUUACACUUUUACCAUCAUACCAAAUCCCAGGGAGCUUGCAGUGUCCAAAUUCCACCUUGCUGCUUUCAUUACAUGACCACUGAUGCCACGCUGUGAACUUAAAAAAUGCUAGAAUGGCCUCAAUUAACGGAAUAUCUUCUAUUUUUUUACUUUCAGUAAGCUGAUUUUUGUAUAUCUUUCCUGGAAGGGGAAUGCAAUGCAAAGGAAAACCAAAACGGUCAUUCAAUUUUCAGAUAUAGCUGAACCAUUCACUAAAAUCUUUGAACAAUAUGUCCAAUGACCAAUAGUUGAAGAGAGGAUCUUACCC